UACGGAGGGUGCGAGCGUUGUCCGGAAUCACUGGGCGUAAAGGGCGCGUAGGCGGCGCGGGGAGUCAACGGUGAAAGCUCGGCGCUCAACGCCGAGUCGGCCGUCGAUACUCCCGUGCUCGAGCACUGUAGAGGCAGGUGGAAUUCCGGGUGUAGCGGUGGAAUGCGUAGAGAUCCGGAAGAACACCAGUGGCGAAGGCGGCCCGCUGGGCAGUGGCUGACGCUGAGGCGCGACAGCGUGGGGAGCGAACAGG
rnacentral:rRNA from 1 species